UACGUAGGCAGCGAGCGUUGUUCGGAGUUACUGGGCGUAAGGGUGUGUAGGCGGUUGUUUAAGUUUGGUGUGAAAUCUCCCGGCUCAACUGGGAGGGUGCGCCGAAUACUGAGCGACUAGAGUGCGGGAGAGGAAAGUGGAAUUCCUGGUGUAGCGGUGAAAUGCGUAGAUAUCAGGAGGAACACCGGUGGUGUAGACGGCUUUCUGGACCGUAACUGACGCUGAGACACGAAAGCGUGGGUAGCAAACAGG
rnacentral:rRNA from 1 species